rnacentral:rRNA from 1 species
GACGAGGGGUGCGAGCGUUAUUCGGAAUUAUUGGGCGUAAAGGGUGCGUAGGCGGCGCGGUAAGUCGGGUGUGAAAUCUCGGGGCUUAACUCCGAAACUGCAUUCGAUACUGCCGUGCUUGAGGACUGGAGAGGAGACUGGAAUUUACGGUGUAGCGGUGAAAUGCGUAGAUAUCGUAAGGAAGACCAGUGGCGAAGGCGGGUCUCUGGACAGUUCCUGACGCUGAGGCACGAAGGCCAGGGGAGCAAACGGG